rnacentral:rRNA from 1 species
AUUGAUAUCGAUUUACAUGGAUAACCGUGGUAAUUCUAGAGCUAAUACAUGCUGGUAGGCCCGACUUUUGCGGAAGGGCGGUAUUUAUUAGAUAACAAGCCAAUAUUCCUCUGGUCUAUUGUGGUGACUCAUAAUAACUGAUCGAAUCGCAAGGCCUUUGGCCGCGAUAAGUCAUUCAAGUUUCUGCCCCAUCAGCUUUCGAUGGUAGUGUAUUGGACUACCAUGGCGUUUACGGGUAACGGAGGAUUAGGGUUCGAUUCCGGAGAGGGAGCCUGAGAAACGGCUACCACAUCUAAGGAAGGCAGCAGGCGCGUAAAUUACCCAAUCCUGACUCAGGGAGGUAGUGACAAGAAAUAACGGACCGAGGCCUUCGGGCUUCGGGAUUGGAAUGAGCCGAAUUUACACCCCUUAGCGAAGAUCGAUUGGAGGGCAAGUCUGGUGCCAGCAGCCGCGGUAAUUCCAGCUCCAAUAGCGUAUAUUAAAGUUGUUGCAGUUAAAAAGCUCGUAGUUGGAUUUCUGGGAGGGUGCCGAUGUCCACUUAACGUGUGCGCAGCGGCGCCCUCUCAUCCUUCUGUUAGCGUCUCUUGGCAUUCAUUUGCUGGUGGCGGGCUCAGAUAUUUUACCUUGAGAAAAUUAGAGUGUUUCAGGCAGGCUAGGCCGGAAUACAUUAGCAUGGAAUAAUGGAAUAGGACUACGGUCUCUUUGUUGGUUUGAGGGACUGCAGUAAUGAUUAAUAGGGAUAGUUGGGGGCAUUAGUACUUAACUGUCAGAGGUGGAAUUCUCAGAUUUGUUAAAGACUGACUUAUGCGAAAGCAUUUGCCAAGGAUGUUUUCAUUAAUCAAGAACGAAAGUUAGGGGAUCAAAGACGAUCAGAUACCGUCCUAGUCUUAACCAUAAACUAUGCCGACUCGGGAUUGGGGGCGUGUUCUAUCCGCCUUCAGCACCGUAUGAGAAAUCAAAGUCUUUGGGUUCUG